UACGGGGGGGCAAGCGUUGUUCGGAAUUACUGGGCGUAAAGGCUCGUAGGCGGCCAACUAAGUCGGACGUGAAAUCCCCAGGCUCAACCUGGGAACUGCGUCCGAUACUGGAUGGCUUGAAUCCGGGAGAGGGAUGCAGAAUUCCAGGUGUAGCGGUGAAAUGCGUAGAUAUCUGGAGGAACACCGGUGGCGAAGGCGGCAUCCUGGACCGAAACUGACACUGAGGAGCGAAAGCCAGGGAGCAAACGGG
rnacentral:rRNA from 1 species